UAGAUUGAAGCCAGUUGUCUGGGGUAUUUAGCUGUUAACUAAAAUUUCGUGGGAUCAAAGCCCUCCAAUCUAG
rnacentral:tRNA from 1 species